GGAGCAGACGCGGCGCCUCAGCCUCGCAGGACAAUCCCAGAAAGCUUUGCAAAAAGCUGACAAUGACAUUUCAGAAGUUCCUCGAUUUCGGCGCCAUUUUCGAGUGGAGCGAGAGGUGACAUGAGUUUUCUGUUUGUUUGUUUGUUUGUUUGUUUGUUUGUUUUCAAAGGACUUAGCUGGCGUUGGCCCCGAUUGUAACGCAGGCGUCCACAGGCUGAGAAAGAGCUGAAAACCGGCCGUUGGACGAGUUUGACACGGAGGGGCCAAGGGAAGGGAAAUCUAUGAACCAGGGAACCGAGGUUGCCUUUUCGGGCUGCAAGUCGUUAUACUCUCAACCGGGUUGGCCAAGCAAUCUGGACGGGAACUUGGCCUCUGACACCAAUACCAUUAGAAGUAAACUUGUGUUUUUCGAGUACUUAAAGAACUGGUAAAUUCGGGGUGACUCUCACUUCGGGUGUGGCACCGCCCAUACUUGUGUUAAGCAACGCAUUUGCUUGGUAGAAAGUUCGGGAUUUUAAAAGUACAAAUUGCAAAUUUACUAAACAUGUCUCUCUUUUUUUCUUUUUAAGGCCAACCAACGGCGUUUGCUCCAUUAAUUCCUAAUGCCGAUGCAAAGAUUGCUUAUAAAUAGUAUAGCGAAAACAAAAGGAAAUGUAGAUGCUUAAUUGACUCCCCCAAUUUAGGGAGUGAGGUUAUUUUUAUUCUUGACUAUGUGCACUGUGUCAGUGUUUUAAUACUACUCAGCCUGUGGCAUUUUGAAUUUUUAAAAUAAAAAUUUCAUCUCAUUA